CCCUACGGGGCAGCAGUGGGGGAUAUUGCACAAUGGGGGAAACCCUGAAGCAGCAACGCCGCGUGGAGGAUGAAGGUUUUCGGAUUGUAAACUCCUUUUGUUAGAGAAGAUAAUGACGGUAUCUAACGAAUAAGCACCGGCUAACUCCGUGCCAGCAGCCGCGGUAAUACGGAGGGUGCAAGCGUUACUCGGAAUCACUGGGCGUAAAGAGCGCGUAGGCGGGAUAGCAAGUCAGAUGUGACAUCCUAUGGCUUAACCAUAGAACUGCAUUUGAAACUGUUAUUCUAGAGUAUGGGAGAGGUAGG
rnacentral:rRNA from 1 species